AACGAACGCUGGCGGCAUGCCUAACACAUGCAAGUCGAACGAGACCUUCGGGUCUAGUGGCGCACGGGUGCGUAACGCGUGGGAACCUGCCCUUAGGUUCGGACUAACUCCCCGAAAGGGGUGCUAAUACCGGAUAAUGUCUUCGGACCAAAGGUUUGUCGCCUUUGGAUGGGCCCGCGUUGGAUUAGCAAGUUGGUAGGGUAAAAGCCUACCAAGGCGACGAUCCAUAGCUGGUUUGAGAGGAUGCUCAGCCACACUGGGACUGAGACACGGCCCAGACUCCUACGGGAGGCAGCAGUGGGGAAUAUUGGACAAUGGGCGAAAGCCUGAUCCAGCAAUGCCGGGUGAGUGAUGAAGGCAUUAGGGUUGUAAAGCUCUUUUACCCGGGAUGAUAAUGACAGUACCGGGAGAAUAAGCGCCGGCUAACUCCGUG
rnacentral:rRNA from 1 species